UAGGGAAUCUUCCGCAAUGGACGCAAGUCUGACGGAGCAACGCCGCGUGAGUGAAGAAGGAUUUCGGUUCGUAAAACUCUGUUGUUAGAGAAGAACAGCGCAUAGAGUAACUGUUAUGCGUGUGACGGUAUCUAACCAGAAAGCCACGGCUAACUACGUGCCAGCAGCCGCGGUAAUACGUAGGUGGCAAGCGUUGUCCGGAUUUAUUGGGCGUAAAGCGAGCGCAGGCGGUCAAUUAAGUCUGAUGUGAAAGCCCACGGCUCAACCGUGGAGGGUCAUUGGAAACUGGAAAACUUGAGUGCAGAAGAGGAAAGUGGAAUUCCAUGUGUAGCGGUGAAAUGCGCAGAGAUAUGGAGGAACACCAGUGGCGAAGGCGACUUUCUGGUAUGUAACUGACGCUGAUGUGCGAAAGCGUGGGGAUCAAACAGG
rnacentral:rRNA from 1 species